UAGCGUAUAUUAAAGUUGUUGCAGUUAGAACGCUCGUAGUCGGAUUUCGGGUCGGGCCGACCGGUCUGCCGAUGGGUACGCACUGGUCGGCGCGUCCUUCCUCUCGGAGACUGUUCCUACUCUUAACUGAGCGGGAGCAGGAUACGGGACUUUUACUUUGAAAAAAUCAGAGUGUUUCAAGCAGGCAGCUCGCUCUUGCAUGGAUUAGCAUGGGAUAAUGAAAUAGGACUUUGGUGCUAUUUUGUUGGUUUCGAACACCGAAGUAAUGAUGAGAAGGGACAGUCAGGGGCACUCGUAUUCCGCCGAGAGAGGUGAAAUUCUCAGACCAGCGGAAGACGAACCACUGCGAAAGCAUUUG
rnacentral:rRNA from 1 species